AUUGAACGCUGGCGGCAUGCCUUACACAUGCAAGUCGAACGGCAGCACGGGGGGUACCCCCUGGUGGCGAGUGGCGAACGGGUGAGUAAUAUAUCGGAACGUGUCCUGUAGCGGGGGAUAACCUAUCGAAAGAUGGACUAAUACCGCAUACGACCUACGGGUGAAAGCGGAGGACCGCAAGGCUUCGCACUAUCGGAGCGGCCGAUAUCGGAUUAGCUAGUUGGCGGGGUAACGGCCCACCAAGGCGACGAUCCGUAGCUGGUCUGAGAGGACGAUCAGCCACACUGGAACUGAGACACGGUCCAGACUCCUACGGGAGGCAGCAGUGGGGAAUUUUGGACAAUGGGCGCAAGCCUGAUCCAGCCAUGCCGCGUGAGUGAAGAAGGCCUUCGGGUUGUAAAGCUCUUUCGGCGGGGACGAAACGGUUCGUGCUAAUACCACGGACUACUGACGGUACCCGCAGAAGAAGCACCGGCUAACUACGUG
rnacentral:rRNA from 1 species